AAUAGUACACUUCAUCACGGCAGCAACCCGGUACAGCAGCAGCCACGGUGAGGGGGUAUGGAGGGUGUGUAACAUGGUUGGCCACGGAAAUAAAUAACGGGACCGGGUCGAAGGAUUUUCAACUAAAGAAAAGCUCAAAAAAAAAAAAAAAAACACGGUGAAAAGAAGGAAGCGGAUACGUCAAGAGAGAAGACACUUUGUUGCAGUGCCACACGUUUCAGUGUUGAUGUCGGUAUUUGGACACGAAUACCUGCCGAAAAUAGUCCCGACGUCCAUUGUUGAAGCUCCUCUGUCCUGUGUGACCCCCUGACACAGAGAGGAUGGUGAUGGAGGAGGGGGGUCAGAGAGACAGAGGGAGGGGAACUCCAGCGACAGCAGAAGAAGGGAGACAAAUCUUCAAAGAACUUGGGGAUCAGAACUUGGAUACCAUUUGUCUCUCUACUUAUCGAACAGCCUGCAAGCUCAGAUUCAUACAGAAGAGAUGCAACUUGCACCUGAUCGACAUAUACAAUGUGAUCGAGGCAGUGCGAGACGCUGGUCUGAACGCGGUGGAGCUCCACGCUGGCAUCUCUGUGGUCAGACUGGAGAACCUGGUGUCCUCCCUGUUCAACCAGCUCAGCAAGCGCCUGCCCACCACACAUACCAUCAACGCUCGAGAAAGCACCGUCCUGUUAGUGGAAUUCUUACUGGCUGCCAUUGACAGUGAGCCAGAGAGCCGUCUGACAGUGCUCUCUGUGAAGGCGAUGCUGUCCACACUAUGUGGAGGAAAGCUGAUUGAUAAACUCCGCUAUGUUUUUUCUCAGGUAUCAGACUCCAGUGGUGUUUUGGUACAGUCCAAGUUUGAUGGAUUUCUGAGAGAGGCUCUCAAGCUGCCUACAGCUGUACAUGAAGGACCGUCCUUUGGCUACGCACACACUUUAGCUCGAUCAUGCUUCCCUCAACAGAAGAGGGUGAUGCUCAACAUGUUCCUGGACGUCAUCGCUGACCCUCCUCAGUGUCUCGUCUGGCUGCCUCUCAUGCACCGCAUGGCCAGCGUGGAGCAUGUCCGUCAUCCAGUCACGUGCUCCUAUUGUCGCGGCAAUGGCAUGACUGGCUUCCGUUAUCGCUGCCUACGUUGCCGUGGUUACCAGCUCUGUCAGGACUGCUUUUGGCGCGGCAAUGCCAGCGGCUCUCACAGCAGCCAGCAUCAGAUGAAGGAGCACUCCUCCUGGAAGUCACCAGCGACAAAGCUUGGCCGAGCCCUGAGCAGGACUCUGGGCUGUGUGUCGUCCAGAGAGCCCCCUCACCCCAUUUACCCCGAGGAGCCCGAAAGGACCCUCAACCUUGCCAACAUAGUCCCCACUCGUCCCCUUGAAAACACCAGUGAGGCCAUGUUGCUGUCCUCAUCGGCACCUGAGUCCUCCAAAAGUUUGGCAGCUGCUCAGCGUAUGAAUGAGGAACACGCUCUGAUAGCUGCGUAUGUGAAUCGUCUCCAAAGCAGCCCAAGUAGUGUGGACAGUCCCAGCCGGCAGGAUGAGGAGCACAAACUGAUCGCCCGCUACACCUCCCGACUGGCAGAGACAGACAGCUCUGGAGUGAUACCCAACAGAAGCAUCAACUUCGAUGUGAACAAACAGAAGAGGGAGCUCAUCGCUCAGCUGGAGUGCAAAAACAGAGAGAUUCUGGCAGAGAUCAAAUGUCUCCGUGCACAGCAUGACGCAGCGUGCCAGGCCAGCCCAGAGAAGGGCACCACCAACCCGACGCUGCUCGCCGAGCUCCGUCUGCUCAGACAAAGGAAAGAUGAGCUGGAGCAGAGGAUGUCGUCUCUGCAAGAAAGCAGGAGGGAGCUGAUGGUACAACUGGAGGGACUGAUGAAGCUGCUCAAGGAUGAGGAACAGCGACAGGCAGCGCAGGCAGCUGGCUCUUCUCACGCCUCUCCUUCCAGACCGAGCCCGUCAACCGUCCGCUCUGUAGGUGCUCCCUCUCCCCAGGUUCACAUGUACCCUCCUCAAGACUCACUUGCUGGGGUGGGGGGCGACGUGCAAGAAGCAUUCGCUCAAGGCCCCAGAAGGAACCUGAGGAACGACCUUCUGGUAGCAGCCGACUCCAUCACCAACACUGUGUCCUCCCUGGUCAAAGAGCUACACUCUGAUGAUGUUCGUGAGGAAGAGGAGAGACUGCUGAAUGGGAAGGACAGAGAGAAACCUCAGUAAAACCUCAGCAUGGCUGUGCACAACUCCAACAUCUGUCUGUGUGUGUGUCAGGCUAAAAUGAUCGCAGGACAAACAAGAACGGUGAGUGACCAAGUGAAGUUUCAUCGCGGAGAGAGGAGACUGACCCUGCUGUGAUGAAAUGACAGCUUAUGCAUAGUUAGUUAACCAAUGGGGAUUAGAGCUCCCCUGCCAAUCAACCAAUCACGAUGCUGGACACCAAAUGACCGCGGGGUCCCUACUGAUGUAAAGCUGUUGAUUCUGUGUGUGUCGUGUCACUGUACUUUUGAUUUGAUCGUCGUAGCUAAACAGGGAAAUCUGAAACCUACUGAUUUGUACUGUAGCAUGUGCGUGUGUUUUGUGUGCGCUCUGCAUUUUCAAAGUUCCAGUAGGUGAGAGGGGAUGUUGUGAAGAGACAGAAAGGUGCAUUUAGGAAAGCGUGUGAAGUAAAAGGAGCGGGAAGGUUUCAGAGGGAUACGGGAUGUUGCCGGAUUGAAAAGAAAAGUGAGGAACGAACGAGGGAGAGUCAAAAGGACGAGGAGUGAGUUUUAACGUUUUAAGUUUCGGCACUGUGUGCUUCGUAUUUAUUGCUUUGAUUUGACUUUGGCUGUUUAUUCUUUUUGGUUUAAAUGUUUAUGUGAGUGUGGUCGGGCCCUGCUGAGAUGAUAAGCUUUAAUGGGACGUUUCCUGGCUCCUCACUCGGGCUGCAGCGAUGCAAGGGUGGAGAGUUGAAGUCCCAGUCGUGCUCCACGUUUCUGAAACCUGGAUGAGAUUAGAUUAGCUCAUUUGGUGCUGUUAUGAUCACAGCUCAGGUUGUCCAGGCUUUUCUGUGUAUCUUGGUACUGCAGCGGGACUCCCGUCAGAGAAGUUAUUUGAUUGCUUUGUGUGUGUGUGUGUGUGUGUGUGUGUGUGUGUGUGUUUGUAAGAGAGAGAGAGAGAGAGAGAGAGAGAAUAUAAAACAGUUGGCUUCAAACAGGGUCAUUGUAGCACAGUAGAUGGAAAAAGGGGCUCCAAAAGUAUUUAUUGACAUUUUUUAAUGGUCAGUUUACCAAAAAUGUCCCAACCCGAGUCUCCCAAGAUAAAACAUUAGAAAUAAAAAAAAAAGCAAAAACAUUUGUUUCCCAAAAAGGUUUUUAUUUUCCUCUGAAUUCACUCCAUUUGAACCCUUUUGUUGUCAGCGUUUUUUUUUUUUUAAACUUUCACAUCUUCAGGACUCAAAAACAUAAAUGUUAGAUUGAAUUUAAAGAGAAACACAAACAUGUUAAGAAA